UUAUCCUACGGGGGGCAGCAGUGGGGAAUAUUGCACAAUGGGGGAAACCCUGAUGCAGCGACGCCGCGUGAGCGAAGAAGUAUUUCGGUAUGUAAAGCUCUAUCAGCAGGGAAGAAAAAAAUGACGGUACCUGAGUAAGAAGCACCGGCUAAAUACGUGCCAGCAGCCGCGGUAAUACGUAUGGUGCAAGCGUUAUCCGGAUUUACUGGGUGUAAAGGGAGCGUAGGCGGCGCGUUAAGUCAGAUGUGAAAUCCCGCGGCUCAACCGCGGAACUGCAUUUGAAACUGUCAGUCUUGAGUACCGGG
rnacentral:rRNA from 1 species